rnacentral:rRNA from 1 species
AUACGGAAGAUCCAAGCGUUAUCCGGAUUUAUUGGGUUUAAAGGAGCGUAGGCGGAAGUUCAAGUCAGUUGUGAAAGUCUGUGGCUUAACCAUAGAAUUGCAGUUGAAACUGAAUUUCUUGAGUGUAGAUAAGGAUGGUGGAAUUUGUGGUGUAGCGGUGAAAUGCAUAGAUAUCACGAAGAACUCCAAUUGCGAAGGCAGCUCACUGGGGUACAACUGACACUGAGGCUCGAAAGUGUGGGUAUC